rnacentral:rRNA from 1 species
UACGGAGGAUCCAAGCGUUAUCCGGAUUUAUUGGGCUUAAAGGGUGCGUAGGCGGAAUUGUAAGUCAGUGGUGAAAGCCCUUCGCUUAACGAAGGAACUGCCAUUGAUACUGCAAAUCUUGAGUACAUUUGAUGAGGGCGGAAUGUGUCAUGUAGCGGUGAAAUGCUUAGAUAUGACACAGAACACCGAUUGCGAAGGCAGCUCUCAAAACUGUAACUGACGCUGAGGCACGAAAGCGUGGGUAUCAAACAGG